GAUAAACGCUAGCGGCAGGCUUAACACAUGCAAGUCGAGGGGCAGCAUAGAUUGUAGCAAUACAAUUGGUGGCGACCGGCGCACGGGUGCGUAACGCGUAUGCAACCUACCCGUCACAGGGGGAUAAUCCGGAGAAAUCUGGUCUAAUACCCCAUAACUUACUGAUCGGCAUCGGUUCAUGUUGAAAUUUUCGGAGGUGACGGAUGGGCAUGCGUAGCAUUAUCUUGUUGGUGAAGUAAUGGCUCACCAAGGCGUCGAUGCGUAGGGGGACUGAGAGGUUUUCCCCCCACACUGGUACUGAGACACGGACCAGACUCCUACGGGAGGCAGCAGUGAGGAAUAUUGGUCAAUGGGCGCAAGCCUGAACCAGCCAUGCCGCGUGCAGGAUGACGGCUCUAUGAGUUGUAAACUGCUUUUGUACGAGGGUAAAGUGGGUUACGUGUAACCUUUUGAAAGUAUCGUACGAAUAAGGAUCGGCUAACUCCGUGCCAGCCGCCGCCGUAA
rnacentral:rRNA from 1 species